rnacentral:rRNA from 1 species
GAUGAACGCUGGCGGCGUGCCUAAUACAUGCAAGUCGAGCGAACGGACGAGAAGCUUGCUUUUCUGAUGUUAGCGGCGGACGGGUGAGUAACACGUGGAUAACCUACCUAUAAGACUGGGAUAACUUCGGGAAACCGGAUCUAAUACCGGAUAAUAUUUUGAACCGCAUGGUUCAAAAGUGAAAGACGGUCUUGCUGUCACUUAUAGAUGGAUCCGCGCUGCAUUAGCUAGUUGGUAAGGUAACGGCUUACCAAGGCAACGAUGCAUAGCCGACCUGAGAGGGUGAUCGGCCACACUGGAGCUGAGACACGGUCCAGACUCCUACGGGAGGCAGCAGUAGGGAAUCUUCCGCAAUGGGCGAAAGCCUGACGGAGCAACGCCGCGUGAGUGAUGAAGGUCUUCGGAUCGUAAAACUCUGUUAUUAGGGAAGAACAUAUGUGUAAGUAACUGUGCACAUCUUGACGGUACCUAAUCAGAAAGCCACGGCUAACUACGUG